GUUAGGAAUAUUGCGCAAUGGGGGAAACCCUGACGCAGCCAUGCCGCGUGAGUGAAGAAGGCCCUAGGGUUGUAAAACUCUUUCAGUAGUGAAGAUUAUGACGGUAACUACAGAAGAAGCUCCGGCUAACUUCGUGCCAGCAGCCGCGGUAAUACGAAGGGGGCGAGCGUUGUUCGGAAUCACUGGGCGUAAAGCGUACGUAGGCGGCCAUGAAAGUCAGGAGUGAAAUCCCGGGGCUCAACCCUGGAACUGCUCUUGAAACUCCAUGGCUAGAGUCCCGGAGAGGUUGGCGGAAUUCCGAGUGUAGAGGUGAAAUUCGCAGAUAUUCGGAGGAAUACCAGUGGCGUAGGCGGCCAACUGGACGGGAACUGACGCUGAGGUACGAAAGCGUGGGGAGCAAACAGG
rnacentral:rRNA from 1 species